CGUUACUGAUAAUAACUGGAUAAGUUAGAAGUAGCAUUACUAAGUAAUGAAAGGUAAGCAAUACGCUAUAUGAGAGCUUUGCAUCCUAUUAGCUAGUUGGUGGGGUAAAAGCCUACCAAGGCGAUGAUAGGUAGCCGGCCUGAGAGACCGACCGGCCAGAUUGGGACUGAGACACGGCCCAGACUCCUACGGGAGGCAGCAGUC
rnacentral:rRNA from 1 species